UAAGGUGGUUAUUGCGGCGGGGCUCACCUCUUCCCAUCCCGAACAGAGAAGUUAAGCCCGCCUGCGCAGAUGGUAUUGCAGUUAUGUGGGAGAGUAUGUCGUCGCCUUUC
rnacentral:rRNA from 1 species